UACGUAGGGGGCGAGCGUUGUCCGGAUUUAUUGGGCGUAAAGAGCGUGUAGGCGGCCAGGUAGGUCGGUUGUGAAAACUGGAGGCUCAACCUUCAGAGGUCGACCGAAACCAUCUGGCUAGAGUCCGGGAGAGGAGAGUGGAAUUCCUGGUGUAGCGGUGAAAUGCGCAGAUAUCAGGAGGAACACCAAUGGCGAAGGCAGCACUCUGGGACGUGACUGACGCUGAGACGCGAAAGCGUGGGGAGCAAACAGG
rnacentral:rRNA from 1 species